rnacentral:rRNA from 1 species
AGAAGGCCCGAGGGUUGUAAAGCACUUUCAAUUGUGAGGAAGGUAGUGUAGUUAAUACCUGCAUUGCUUGACGUUAACUUUAGAAGAAGCACCGGCUAACUCUGUGCCAGCAGCCGCGGUAAUACAGAGGGUGCAAGCGUUAUUCGGAAUUACUGGGCGUAAAGCGCGCGUAGGCGGACUAUUAAGUCAGUUGUGAAAGCCCUGGGCUCAACCUAGGAACUGCAUCUGAUACUGGUAGUCUAGAGUUUAGGAGAGGGAAGUGGAAUUCCAGGUGUAGCAGUGAAAUGCGUAGAUAUCUGGAGGAACAUCAGUGGCGAAGGCGACUUUCUGGCCUAAAACUGACGCUGAGGUGCGAAAGCAUGGGUAGCGAACGGGAUUA